CUGCAUCCACUGAUAGACCUUGAACAAU
rnacentral:piRNA from 1 species